AGGUUGGUGGAAAGAGAAGCGAGAGAACGAGGGUACACAAAUGCUACGAGCGAAGAAGAGUGGCAUCGCAAGAAGAAACUCCAAAGGAACCCGUGCAUCCACGGUAAUUUGGCAAAGGUGAGACUUCCUAUUGGAAGAAACGUAAAAGGUAGCCUUAAGGGAGGGAUGGAAGAGAAAAAAAAGGCGCAACCUCCUGGUUGGAAGACUGGGAAGAAAAAGUGGGGAGCACAGAAUGUCAGCGUAGGCGGGUAGACCGACGGAAAGUUUCGUUCAAUCUCUCGUGAGAAUGUUACGAUAUUCGAGCAUUGUCAACGAAGGCCACUCAAACGGUUACGCUACGACGAAGGAUCGAUAAGAUCUUUGAAGAAUUCUCCUCCGGUGAAAACGUUAACGAGCACUUGGAAUCUUUCGUAUCGAUGCCUGGACGUACGUACAAGCACGCCGUGGCCUUUCGUUUGGCUGUUGUGGGCUGUAUCUCAAGGCUGAAUUCGAGACGCGAGGAAGGAGGAUGAAGAAGGAUGGAACGAUAGAAGAAUUUGGUUUUCAAUUUCUAUCACGUCUUCGCAUCACCGAGCUUCCGUUCCGUUCGAUUACGUUCUACCAUCACGUGUCAUUUGUGUUUUGGUUCUUCUGUCUCAAUUUUGUAUCUUUGCUCGAACGUCUUUCGGUCGUGCAGGUAGAAAGGAAGAUAAAUAAAACGAUCAAACUUCACAUAUUGUAUCGCGAUUGAUAUUUUUAAAUUAUUACGACUAUAAUCUUCGAAGCGCUAUAUACGUUUUUAUCGCGUCGAUUUAUUAUUUUCACCUGCUGGUAUAAAAACUAUCCUUCGAAAUAAGGCUUAACGAUAAAUUAGGACAUAUUUUAAUUACGUUUAAUUACGAAUAAGCAUGGUAUGCGAGCGAGUGUUAACGAAAUUGCAGCGUUAUCGCGACUUCCUAUUUUCUCUUGCAAAAUUCACGACCUUCGAAAUUCGUAAUUGCGUAAACAGGCAAUCUUGUUGAGAUAACACGAGAUACGAAAUGAGCGAAAUAAAGGCAUGUACGCGUGAGACGAAAGCUGAGGCUAUUUUGUAUUGCGGCCGCGUAAUCUACAUAGCGUUAACACGAGAAAAAGGCAAAAAAGAGAAAAUCCAAAGAAUGAAGAAAAGAACCUUACUCGGACUUUACUUUACGUACCAACUGGCCCUGAAUGUCAGCUGCUGCAACGUUGGAUGUACACGCUUCGUAUGACAUUCUCAAACAUAAAUCAGCCAGGAUGCGUGGUUAAUUGUACAAUUGUGAUAAAUCAAACGAUCAGCGGGAGGCCGUAAUUACCCGUAUGUGGACAAUGAUAAAUCAAAUGUAAGGACGUAGAAUCAUAAAAUGUAAUAGCUUAUAGCUUAUGAAUAUUACGGUAAAACUGCGUAUCCAACGUUCCCUACCUCUUAUUAAGCCUAAACAAAAUGUUCGCGUAUAAGGCAAGCUCGUCUGCAUCCCGAUUGCUUUUUCGCCAUUUUCAUCGUAAGAUUGUAUACCUAUGCAUUGAAACAUGCUUAUAUAUACCUACAAAGAAUAUAUCUAAAAUUGUUCGAAAUAACGUUGAACCAA